rnacentral:misc_RNA from 1 species
CAAUAACACUCACCUGCUAUAUUGUCUUCCUUCCCCCACUCUCUCAGAUCACCGCUAGCACCAUCUCCUCUAUUUCAAUCCGUACCGCCAUUUCUACACCGCCCGCCUAAAUCCCAUCAAUCACCUAUAUCCACUAUUCCACCCUGAUUUGUCUUUCUUCUGCAAUGGUCACUGGUGGGUCACACCAGGAUGAUGGGGACAAGAACCACCCUCCCGCUGCCACAGUUUCUAGAGCCGGCGCCAGCAGGUCUUGGGGCACCACUACUAUCUCCGGUCAAUCGGUUUCCACCAGUGGCAGCAUCGGUUCCCCUUCCAGCCGGAGUGAGCAGGCCAUGGCCACGCCCGGCAGUGACAACACUUUUCUUAGGCUGAACCAUCUUGACAUUCACGC